GCAGCGAAAUGCGAUAAGUAAUGUGAAUUGCAGAAUUCAGUGAAUCAUCGAAUCUUUGAACGCACAUUGCGCCCGCUAGUAUUCUAGCGGGCAUGCCUGUUCGAGCGUCAUUUCAACCCUCAAGCCCUGCUUGGUGUUGGGGCCCUACGGCUGCCGUAGGCCCUGAAAACUAGUGGCGGGCUCGCUAUAACUCCGAGCGUAGUAGUAAAAUAUCUCGCUAGGGAGGUGUCGCGGGUUCCGGCCGUGAAAGCCCCAUCUUUUACACAAGGUUGACCUCGGAUCAGGUAGGAAUACCCGCUGAACUUAAGCAUAUCAAUAAGCGGAGGAAAAGAAACCAACAGGGAUUGCCCCAGUAACGGCGAGUGAAGCGGCAACAGCUCAAAUUUGAAAUCUGGCCUCGGCCCGAGUUGUAAUUUGUAGAGGAUGCUUUUGGUGAGGUGCCUUGUGAGUUCCCUGGAACGGGACGCCAGAGAGGGUGAGAGCCCCGUAUACUUGGACACCGAGCCUCUGUAAAGCUCCUUCGACGAGUCGAGUAGUUUGGGAAUGCUGCUCAAAAUGGGAGGUAUAUCUCUUCUAAAGCUAAAUAUUGGCCAGAGACCGAUAGCGCACAAGUAGAGUGAUCGAAAGAUGAAAAGCACUUUGAAAAGAGGGUUAAAUAGUACGUGAAAUUGUUGAAAGGGAAGCGCUUGUGACCAGACUUGUGCCGGGCUGAUCAUCCAGUGUUCUCACUGGUGCACUCUGCCCGGCUCAGGCCAGCGUCGGUUCUCGGUGGGGGACAAAAGCUUCGGGAACGUAGCUCCUUCGGGAGUGUUAUAGCCCGCUGCUCAAUACCCUACCGGGGACCGAGGU
rnacentral:rRNA from 1 species